UUCCUCGUGGCCCAAUGGUCACGGCGUCUGGCUACGAUAACCAGGAGAUUCCAGGUUCGAGUCCUGGCGGGGAAG
rnacentral:tRNA from 1 species